CAGAAGUCUAACAUCGAUAUGACUCAGCUGAAACAAGAUGUUGACAGGGCUGAGCUCCCUCUGGAAGCUCUAACGUAGAACCUUUCCUUGCCUUUUUCAGCACCUAGAGCUGCAUUCCAUGUAUUCCUUGGCUUUUCGUCCUUUCCUCCAUCAUCAAGUAACUGAUGCUGGUGCUUUCUCAUGUGUCCUUCCUCGUGGGCUGCGCCUCCUGUUUCCAGGAUCUGUGAGCAUGAUGAACUUUGUUUUCCUGAGCUUGUCCUGUGUCUCCUCUUCUGGCCACACCUGACUGAGCAGAACAUAAAAGCGACAGAACACCAGGAGGGCUGCUGCUUGGGGAAACUGUGUGAGAAGAGUUGGGGGACUAGGGGCAGGGCAAGCACUGCUCCCCCUCUCCUGGAGGCUGGGGAGAGCAUCAAGGAGACUACCAGGUAGGAGGAACCAUGGGCAGGGCCUCCCUCAUCAGGAUGCUUUCCCCACAACAGAGGGAUUUAAGCCCCUGGUGGGUGAGUCCUGGAUUAACCAAGACCUGAGCCUUUUGGGGGGUGCAGAGGACAGAGGACACUGUGAGGUGAGCUUCUCCUGGGUGGAUUCCCCAGGGGCCUCUGAGGCUGGUUUCAGGCCCUGCCCUUUGGCUGCCCCACUGGAAGCUCUGAGCAUCUACCCUUCAGAGAUGCUUUCCCUGGUCUGACCUUGGCAAGGGCAAAUAAGGAGGUACUCCAUGGAGGGUCACCAAGGUCUGGGGCAUAAACGGUGCCCAUCUGCACAGUAGCAUGAGGGCCACAGAGUGUGGUAAAUGUCAGUGACCA
rnacentral:lncRNA from 1 species